GGUAAGGCCUUUCGGGGUACACGAGCGGCGAACGGGUGAGUAACACGUGGGUGAUCUGCCCUGCACUUCGGGAUAAGCCUGGGAACCUGGGUCUAAUACCGGAUAUGACCUCCUAUCGCAUGGUGGGUGGUGGAAAGAUUUAUCGGUGCAGGAUGGGCCCGCGGCCUAUCAGCUUGUUGGUGGGGUAAUGGCCUACCAAGGCGACGACGGGUAGCCGACCUGAGAGGGUGACCGGCCACACUGGGACUGAGACACGGCCCAGACUCCUACGGGAGGCAGCAGUGGGGAAUAUUGCACAAUGGGCGAAAGCCUGAUGCAGCGACGCCGCGUGAGGGAUGACGGCCUUCGGGUUGUAAACCUCUUUCAGCAGGGACGAAGCGCAAGUGACGGUACCUGCAGAAGAAGCACCGGCUAACUACGUGCCAGCAGCCGCGGUAAUACGUAGGGUGCAAGCGUUGUCCGGAAUUACUGGGCGUAAAGAGUUCGUAGGCGGUUUGUCGCGUCGUUUGUGAAAACCAGCAGCUCAACUGCUGGCUUGCAGGCGAUACGGGCAGACUUGAGUACUGUAGGGGAGACUGGAAUUCCUGGUGUAGCGGUGAAAUGCGCAGAUAUCAGGAGGAACACCGGUGGCGAAGGCGGGUCUCUGGGCAGUAACUGACGCUGAGGAACGAAAGCGUGGGUAGCGAACAGGAUUAGAUACCCUGGUAGUCCACGCC
rnacentral:rRNA from 1 species